GAUGCGACCACCAGCUGUUUGUAUAAAUCCUCACGGAGGACUGCUCUGGGGAGGACAUCACGUGUGUUUGAAAGAGAGGGAUGGAAAAGAGGGGGCUGGAGUGAGAGGAGAAGAGGAAGGAAUUGAACCACAUGUUAUUUCUUUGUCAUCAACGUCAUCCCACCAUUGUAGAGAUUUUCUUGGAUGACAUGCGGCCCAUACUCUCGCCCCUUGUCCUCCAUCUCUGUUGGUACCCUUUCAUGGUUUCUUGUCCACUUCUUUCAUGAUUUAUUCUUUUCAAAUAGUAAUUCAGGCUGUUAUACUAAUUUGAUUGAUGUGGGUGGUGUAAUAAUUCAGGUCGUGCAGGAUGGUCUGCUAAUUUCCCUGAUGCUUCAUCAGGUUUCGCUUUUUGAUACAUUGAUUGAUUCCCAAUUUGAUGCAAAUAACCAAAAUGAAUGAAUUGAUGUGGCUGUUAUAAUAAAUUUUCCUUAUUUUGUAUGUGAUUAUGCUCAGGUUUUGGAAGCAUCGGGCUAAGGGGUGAUUAUGCUCAGGUUUUGAUGCAGUGAGAUUCAGAUAAUUUUAAGAAACACAUGUAAAGGAGUCCAAACAGGACGGGCUCGGUGUACAUGGUUUUCAGUUAAUGCAGUUUAGGUCUGACCAUCACAAGUGGCAAUAGGCAGUAGUGGAGAAGGCAUGAAGAGGCCCACAUCUGAAAAUCUCAACUAUUCUAGGAUUUUUGAGCUGCUGACCAUGUGAUUGGUAGCCGACGAUUUCUUCAUGGGUUGCUGAUUUCUCAAGUUUUGCCUCACACAAAAGAGGGCUAGCAACACCUUUGACAGAAACAGCCAACAUUCAGUGCAGAUCCGAUAUAUUCUGGUUGUCUUCCAUUUAGUUGACGGCAUGCAAGACUGAUCUGAUGCAUCUACUGCUUGUUGACUUGGUUAUAUUUAUCUAUAAAGUGGCAGUGGUGCAGAAUAUAUCCUCUGCCAUGGAAGGAGGUAUUUGAUGCUGUCAGAUGGCAUAUAGGUCAAUAAUGAGGUGACUGCCGGGGUAAUCUCAGGAAGGGACAAUGACACAAAUUAACUUUGUUGACAAGCUCACGAUCACGGGGAACAAGCCGUCCUGCAGUGUUUCCAUGUACUGCAAGUUGACGACAAGUUCAUUGUUGAUGCCAUGCAAUUUCUUACAAAAAUACAUGUGGUACAGGUAUGAAGGCCGACACUGAUUAUCAAGUGAAAGUGCAAGUAUGUAUCACAAUAAUGCCUGGAAAUCAGCCAGUGGCUGGAUUAUUUGAGCUAUUUUGGCGUCUCUGCCAUCCUAUAGUUGUUCAGUUUUCUCUUUUGAAACGAGGCUAUCUAGAGGAUUUCAUGUUGUGGUUUAGGAAGUCCCAUGUGCAUACUUUUUGCAGGCAUCAGUGAAGAUUGGGAGGUAGAGAGGGAUUGCUCAAGUGGAAACAGAUCAAGAACCAGAAGGAGCUCAAGAUUUCGCUACUUCCUUGGUAAUAGCUUUGUGAGAUCAGUUAAAUAUUAUCCAGGACCAUGCACCCGCCCUUGACAAUGGCUUCCAGAAGCUAAGGUUGCAGGGGUGAAUUAAAGUUCGAUUUUCCAGCAGCGAGGUAACUACUACCGAUGGAGAUCAAACUAAUGAGCUCAUGAAAAAAACUAUAAACA